UGAGGCCAGGCUGGUCCUCGUUUUGUUUAAAUGUAUCGCGUAUCGGAGAGAAUUUGACAUUUCGAAUUUUGCUGCUGACAUGGCCGCCAUCAUGAUUUUUCUCGCCGCUUCUGUCUUCAGUCUGGCUUGCUUUGCCGAAGGAUGCGUCUUCCCAUUCGACAGGAUCGGCACCCAGUUGAUCCUUUGGUGGAAGGACAUAGGUAUGCCUUGAAUCUCUACUGUACUUUGGCCUCCAGCAACGGAUCGCUCGUCAAGAUUCCCGACGCGGACCAACACCAGGCCAUCGUCAGCUACAUCAGGGAACAGGGUCUGGACCACGCCAACUACUGGAUAGGCGCCAAUGACGAUGAUUCCGAAGGCCAAUGGAAGUGAAGCGAUGGAACGGACGUUCCCUUGAGCACCACCUUUUGGCGGUACGGCUGCGACGCCGACCGCAGCAGGAGGCCCCGGGUCGACCCCGGCAGGAACUGCGCCAUUUUGGACUGCCUUAGUUUCGAGACCGGAAAGUUCUGUCCGAUCUGCGAGAUGGUUUGAUGGCAGUGCGAGUGUGAAAUAAAGUAUAAAAAUAACAAGGACUCUAGGGAGAAUGCAUGGGACUAAAAUAAAACAAAAAAAGAUGAGGUAUGAAAUAAAAGAUUAUACAUAUCUU